rnacentral:rRNA from 1 species
AACGAGACCUUAACCUGCUAACUAGCCCGUAUUGCUUUGGCAGUACGCUGGCUUCUUAGAGGGACUAUCGGCUCAAGCCGAUGGAAGUUUGAGGCAAUAACAGGUCUGUGAUGCCCUUAGAUGUUCUGGGCCGCACGCGCGCUACACUGACGGAGCCAGCGAGUACUCCCUUGGCCGAAAGGCCUGGGUAAUCUUGUGAAACUCCUUCG